GUGGGGAGGAAGUCCCAGGUCCUCCAGAGCGGAAUCCCUUCCUCCUUUGUCCUCUGCCUCGGUGGCCCCUCCUGGGAUCCAGUGUCCUUUCGCUAAUGUGGCCACUUGCUGCCACUGCUCCGCCGGCACACAAUUUCCAUUCUCAUCCUGGGGCAAACUUCUCAACUCAAGGUAAUUCUUCCAGGGUUUGCAAGCAUCUCUAAUUCAGACACGGAGAACUUUGCAGGCAAAGAUGGAUGAGCAAGACUUGGCUGGACCUAAAGCAGGAAGAGGCCAUGCCACUGAAGAUGGGAACAGUGGGGAAAUCUGGGAAAACUCUGUGCGGAAGAUCCUGGGUGGGAAGGAUACCCUCUGCUCAGAUGUGCAGAGCCAGCAGCUCAGGCAGUUCUGCUGCCAAGAGGACGAAGGACCCCGAGAGGUUUGCAGCCGAUUUUACCACCUUG